GUUCAUUUGUCUUAAUUGGGUGUGAAAGGAGUGCAACCCCACAGCUCAGAAGACAUAGAGGUGCAAGGGGGCUGAUUUUCACUGCACAUCCAGAAUGGACUACUGUGUAUUCACUGAAACUUGAAACAACGCAAUAAUGAUGUGCACUGCCUGCAUGACAUGCAUUCUCCAAUGAAUCCUGUUAGCACAUGGUCCCCCUCUUUGAAUUCAGUCACUCUUUGUCCCACACUCUCAACAAUGCUGCAAAAAUAUACCAAAUAUUAAACAUCUACUGAGAAGAUUACACCUUUUUGCAAUGAUUUAGCUAAAGUAAUGUCCUUGAUGCAACAAUGUAUCACAUUCCCAUGCAUAGUGUAAUACUUCACUCUCAGCUGAUCAUUGUCACUCUAA